rnacentral:rRNA from 1 species
GAUGAACGCUGGCGGCGCGCUUAACACAUGCAAGUCGAGCGAGAACCAGCCCUUCGGGGCUGGGGACAGCGGCGAACGGGUGAGUAACACGUGGGUAAUCUGCCCUCGGCAUCGGGAUAGCCCGGGGAAACCCGGAUUAAUACCGAAUAGCCUCCGGAGCCUGCGGGCGCCGGAGAAAAGGUAGCUUCGGCCUCUGGCCGAGGCUGAGCCCGCGGCGGAUUAGCUUGUUGGCGGGGUAACGGCCCACCAAGGCGACGAUCCGUAGCUGGUCUGAGAGGACGAUCAGCCACACUGGGACUGAGACACGGCCCAGACUCCUACGGGAGGCAGCAGUGGGGAAUCUUGCGCAAAUGCGGGAAACCGUGACGCAGCGACGCCGCGUGGGGGAAGAAGGCCUUCGGGUUGUAAACCUCUUUCAGGAGGGACGAAGCUACUCGGGUUAAUAGCCCAGAGGGUGACGGUACCUCCAGAAGAAGCCCCGGCUAACUACGUGCCAGCCGCCGCGGUAA